rnacentral:rRNA from 1 species
ACGUAGGGUGCGAGCGUUAAUCGGAAUUACUGGGCGUAAAGCGUGCGCAGGCGGUUUCGCAAGUCAGAUGUGAAAGCCCCGGGCUUAACCUGGGAACUGCGUUUGAAACUACGAGGCUAGAGUACGGCAGAGGGAGGUGGAAUUCCAAGUGUAGCAGUGAAAUGCGUAGAUAUUUGGAGGAACACCGAUGGCGAAGGCAGCCUCCUGGGCUAGUACUGACGCUCAUGCACGAAAGCGUGGGGAGCAAACAGGAUUAGAUACCCUGGUAGUCCACGCCCUAAACGAUGGCAACUAGUUGUUGGGGAUUAACAUCCUUAGUAACGUAGCUAACGCGUGAAGUUGCCCGCCUGGGGAGUACGGUCGCAAGAUUA